ensembl:snRNA U6 U6 spliceosomal RNA
GUGUUUGCUUCAGCAGCACAUAUAUUAAAAUUAACAAUACAGAGGAGAUUAGCAUGGCCUCUGUACAAGGAUGAUAUGAAAUUUGUGAUGAGUUUU